AUUAUUGUGCAUGUGGCCCCAGUUUGGAACGCAAUGUUGGCCCCGAUUUGUCAUCCAAUAUAGGGCCGAAAGAAAAAAUCUCUAUUGCCCCAAUACUGGUGACCACAUUUGGGCCUACAUAUUGUUGCGGAAAAUUAACUUGACCCCGAUUGUCGCCCAAAAAACUUUCUACACGAGACGUUGGAGCGAGGCAAGGGAGUACACUCGCAAUCGUUUGGAAUAAAAAACGCAUGUACUUCCGAGUCGGACAUGCGCCGAAUGAUACAAAAUUUGUACCGAAUUCAAUACGGUGAAUGAAAAACACUGUAAAGUUUAAUUAAUAUACAUAUAAUAUUUUUGACCGAUCAAAAUAACUACGUUUUCUACGCAGCACAUAUUUCUGUGGUAUUCAGCCGAUAUCAUUCGACCUUUGAUCCGAAGAUUGGAUUACGACUAGUCGUAGUGCCAUCGCAGCUCCGGCCACACGAAAUAUCAACCCUUGCACUCGAGGCCUUUUUCGUUUGCGUGAACAGCAACUCGAGUCGAUUUCGGCCAAAUUAGGUAAACGUUUUACCGGUACUUUAAAAACAUUUAUAAACAAACAAGCGUAUACAAAUAAUGAAAUUUCACCCGUUUAUUCAUCCAUAUGUCGAAAACAACAAACUUUGAUAAGUGCCGCAUCGGCACCGCUCGAGUGGAACGGGUUAAUCCCGCGCAGCAGUAUUACAACGAUAUCAUUCCGACCUUUGAUCCACAGAUUGGAUUACUUAUAUGACGCGAGUAAAAACUGACCUUCGAUCUAUUGUUCCUAUUUGUAGCAGGUCGUAUGUAAUACACAGCAUUACUUCUUCUUAUCAAACCCGACAUGUACCAACUUUUUAUCUCUGCACGGAAUUUCCGAGAAACGGGCGGCGUUAAAAACAAUGCUCGAGUUCAGAGAAGUGUUCGGAUAAAAGGGGUUAUCUUCUAUCUGUAAUUUCUUUCUGCUCCUUCGGGUCACACAUGGAAAGCUUUAAAUACCGCGCAUAUCGACGCCUAUCCAUAGUCGAUCACCGUUCAGUAAGUCGAGUACACACUUUGCGAAUUACAAGAUGAAGUUGGCGUUUCUGUUUGUACUUUUAUUGAGCGUGCUUCAAUACGCUCAUGCAGCAAUUUGUGCAAAAGAUUUGAGAAGCGGUGGCCCUCAAAACUUUAAUAGUGUUGCUCAAAUGAAUGCGGAAAACAGAAAAGGCGGACGAUACCAAUUCCAACACAAUGGGUAUUGUUAAGUAACAAGCGCCUCAAGAGAAUUUUGUCCGCAAGGUCAAAACGAUACCAAAAGUUUAUCGAUGUAACUGCAUAUUUGUAUCAAUAAACGGUAGUAAAAAUUGA